GCGCCUGUAGCUCAGCUGGAUAGAGCAACGGACUUCGAAUCCGUAGGUCGGGGGUUCGACUCCCUCCAGGCGCA
rnacentral:tRNA from 1 species